rnacentral:rRNA from 1 species
GACGAACGCUGGCGGCGUGCCUAAUACAUGCAAGUAGGACGCAGUUGCGAACGGGUGAGUAACGCGUAGGUAACUGCCUAUUAGAGGGGGAUAACUAUUGGAAACGAUAGCUAAUACCGCAUACUAGUAGAUGGACCUGCGUUGUAUUAGCUAGUAGGUAGGGUAAUGGCCUACCUAGGCGACGAUACAUAGCCGACCGGGGAGGGUGUGCGGCCAAACUGGGACUGGGACACGGCCCCGACUCCUAAGGUGGGCAGGAGUAGGGAAUCUUCGGCAAUGGGGGGAACCCUGGCCGAGCAACGCCGCGGUAGUGAAGAAGGUUUGCGGAUCGUAAAGCUCUGUUGUUAAGGAAGCGGUACUUAACCAGAAAGGGACGGCUAACUACGUGCCAGCAGCCGCGGUAAUUC